UUAAAUUUAUAUACUGCGCGGGUCGCCUCCCUUGAUGAAUGAGGGCGGUGUUUCACUAAAGUUCGGAGAGAUUCUUCGCGCUCAUUGGCUGCCGCCUCUGUGGAUACGCUGGUAGCGUAGUGUUGUUUGGUGAUGCAAAGCGCGAAAAUUAGGCGGCAAUACACAACACUUAUUAUCGUGCUUUACCAGCGAAGACAAAUGUGUAUCUGUAAAGACGAAGCAUUCGAAAGGUCUGAAGAUAGAAAGACCGACAAAAGGAAAGACGAGCACAAAUCCCUUCUUUUUGUUGGACAGAGAUGGGGUUGCAGGUAGAUCACAAAUCCUGACAGGCUUACAGUCUUCGUGGCUCUGUCUGAUGGUGUCUAGGUCUUCUGCAUGGAUGAAGUGGUAGCAGGCCUGAGAUGUAGUGUUGAUGUGACAACACAUAUUUGGCACACAUUAUCAUUUACACCAAUUGGGGCAAACACUAGGGCAAAGGUAACUGAGAGUGAAAGGCAUGCUGGUGGGUUACCUGUUCUCACAGUAGGUGACCUG